rnacentral:lncRNA from 1 species
GUGUCCGUGACCGAAGGAGCGCCCGUUGAACCGAACCCCGAGGUCGGUGCUCCGUUCGAGGAAGUCGGAUCUGAGACUUGGGAAGUCUCCGAGGGUCCCUCUCUGCCCUGCAACCAAGGCAAGCCCCGGAUGCAUUAACCCCUCCUUGGAUGUUUUAAAUCUUUUGUCACUUAUGAAUUGAAAAUGCUGCAUUAGAUAGUUGAGAAUUGGGUUAACCUACUUGCUGCAUUUACUACCUUGAUAUCUAUAUCCUGUCCUUGACACCUGUUUUAUUUUAAAACUGCGUAGCGAUGCUUAGCCCUGCUACUAGAUAGGUUUUUAAACAAGAAAGUUUGAAGGGUUGUUGUGGGAUACACUUACGAUCAAUGAUGUUUCAAUUUGAGACCGGUCGGUGGACUUGCUCUAAGAAUGGAGUCUUAAAGUAGUGUCUCUGACUGUGUUGAUUAAGGACCGUUCCGUUGAUGGCCUGCUGGGUUGAGAAUUUAUAGUACUAGCCACUUGCCUUCGGUAAGCCCGGUCUUGUGAUCCCUCGACGCGAACAGCUACUCGCGCACUGGGAGUGGAAAGAUGGCGAGAGUAGUGUGUACCCACCUUACGGAUCUGAGAUGACCGGAAAACAUCUAGAUCGGCUGUAGGAUGGUGGAGUACUGUGCUCUCGGGUGCCGCGAACCUGGUCAAAUUUGGGGAGAGCUUGAUUUGGGUUGAUAUAUGCAAGAUUUGGUUCUACAUAUGUCGGGUGGUUAGGAACUCCAGCUGGAUUGCUAAGCGAUUCGAAUCGUCGUUGCUCCCCGAUUGGGAGACUCAAUUCCUUCGACCCUCAUCGUAGUUAAAUAUGUAACUAAGUGAUAAAAUGAGAAAGGGGAAAAUGUCUCAUGAGGUUCGGAUCCCAAUUCCUGGACUCAUAGCGACAUGAAGCUAUGGCCAUCGAUAACUAUUACUUUGUGAUAGGACUAGGAACUCACGGAUUCGUCUGUGAGGAACAACCAGUUAGACUGUCCUCGAACUCCUCGGCCUCUGCGAGGGAGGAAUUCGUGGGUAAAACUUGAAAAUAAGGAUGCACUACUAGUAAGCUUUUUACGCAAAACACUUUGGCUCCUUGCUCAGCCACCCCUUGUCUACCCUAAGCCUGCAUCCCUAAGUUCUCCUCUUUUCCCAUCGGGUAAGUCUUGUUGAGUACUCCCGUACUCAGGGUUUCAAUACCCCUGUUGCAGGUGAAGCUCAGGAGCCGACUUGUUUCGGACCCUGUUGUGUGACCGUCGUCGAGGUUGACGACGAAGAAGAGUGAGCGUGACCCAUGGGCAGGGUCUGUAAAUUUGUUCUAUCUGCAUUAAAGUUUCAGUUGCUCCGCUGGACCAGGCUUGUAAUAACACUCUACUAUUUGGAAGAACUCCUUUUGUAAAUUAAGUUAUGUAAUACUUCCGCUGUUUCACUCUGAAAUAUUAUUUUGGUCUUGUGUCGUUGAGUUACGGCUUUAUCUUCGCAACGAAUGAUCCUGGUGUUAAGGUGGCCACUUGCUAUCCUGUAAGGGCGAGAAGAAAUAGUUCUCGUCGUUCGACCAUUACCAGUGGUCAGGACGAGCCAGCUUGGUACGCCACAGGUAGCAGUGGAAUGAGCGCCCAGCAAUGCUCAUCGGACUUCUAAAGUGGGAGGACUCCCGGCAUCACCGUCAGAGGUCCUUAGGACAAUGGCAGGUGCCGGUGGGGCCCAAACACUUAGGAGGUUCUGCCACAGCUGGUAUCAGAGCAUUCGUUGCUAAGAUGACUGCUGUACCUAUUGAAAAAAAAAAUUUCAAAAAAAAAUUCGUUUGGAUCUACUACUAUGAACCUGCCUAUUUUGAGUCCAAGUGCUUAGUCCUAAUCUACCCCUGUCUAUAGGCUUUCUUAGAAUUUUUGAAGUGGUAUGGAGGAGCAACCUAAAGUAUUGCCCUAUGUUGUAAAAAAAAAUUUAAGGUAAUAUUGUUACGAAUUGUUAGUAGGAAUCGUAAGUUCGUGCAUGCAUCAUGAUGUAUUAACUGGUUAAGUUCCUUCCUCCUUGUUGGGUUGGGUGAAUAGAAUCAAUCCUAUUCUUGCUAACCUUUAAGGUCUCUCUUACUAAUCUAAACUUACCCUCUACAGGAUGGCUCGUCAGAAGCAGACCCUGCGUAAGCGGACCGGUCCAAAAGGAGUUCCCCGACAUCAGCUAGCUCCACGCAGUGAUCAAGCCAGUAGUAGCCGUUCACCGCCUCAGCAGGAGGUGGACAGGUUGUCCGCCGAGUUGACUGAGGUGAUGAGAGAGAGAAUGUACAAUAUUAUGGAGAUUGGCAAACUUAAAGUUCAACUGGCCAAAGAAAAACAAGCUACAGAAAACUGUGAAGCUAUGUUGUCCCGGAUGGUGGAGGAGCGGAAUGCAGCCAUUGCCCGAGAGGAAGAAGCUAGGAGCACCCAUAGGCAUGAGCUAACUAGGAUGAACGCAAAGUUGGGCAAGACAAGGUAUCUUAAGGAUUUGUAUGUGAAGAUGGCGGCCACGGUCACCGCACAACGGGAUGUCGCGUGGCAACGAGAGGACCAGCUCCAGCUGGAGAAACUGGAGCUGGCACAUCACUUAGAUACAGUCAAUGACCUGGCUAUGCAAUAUCGUGAUAUUGCAUUUGAUCUGUAUCGUCAACUCCACCCACCUCCCGGCGAAGGAGAAAUGGAUACGGAUGGCGAGCUGGCAGACGAUGGAGAACCCGAUCCAGGCCUCAGUGAUGAAGAGGAGUCCGACCCCGAUGAUCACAACCCAGGGGGUAAUCAAGAUGAUGGCAAUGACGACCCGGGCUACAGCUCUUGCCACACCGAUUAGUUCGGUGAAACCGAGGGCAACGUCGUUGUAGGGGUCUUAGCUUGCCGUAGUGGGGUUCGGGUUUGUAACAUAAGUUCUCUUUUGGUUUGAAAAGUUGUACUUGUUUACUCUUGGUGUGUCGAACUAAUGUUUAAUAAGUGAAUGAAAGAAUGUAAGAUAUGUUCUGUGUUAUGAAUUUUACGUGGUAACAGGUAUCUACGAUUCUUGUAACAGAUGCCGAUGCGUACUCGCGGAUCUGAUGGAGCUGGGACAUCCCAGGGAGGGGAUGAUAUCCCCAACCCUCCACCUGCUCCGCCUUCUUUGGCUGACGCCAUUGCUGUUUUGUUAAGUGCCACUACUGACAAUGCUCGCUUGCUGCGCGAGCUAGCACAGCGUCAACCACACCCUGCUCCAAACUUCAGGGCACCGCGCAACGGGGACGGAGAGACUCGGUAUGUGGACUUUACCGAAACCAGGCCCCCGGUGUUCACUAAGGCCGAUGAGCCUUUAGAAGCGGAUGACUGGCUCCGAACCAUGGAGCAUAAGUUCAGUUUGAUUCAGUGUUCAGAAACUCAGAAACCCUUAUUUGCAGCUCAGCAGCUUCGGGGAGCUGCAGGUGCCUGGUGGGAGAACUUCUUAGCUAUUCAAGCUCCCGGACACCAAGUCACUUGGACCGAAUUUAAGGACGCGUUCCGCGCCCACUACAUCCCCGAAGGGCUCAUGGCCAUGAAGGCCGAAGAGUUUCUCGCCUUGCAGCAAGGCGAUAAAAGUGUUAUGGAGUACGUGGCAAGGUUUAAUCAUCUCUCUCAAUAUGCCACGGAUCAUGUGAACACUGACAGAAAGAGGAAAGCCUGUUUCAUGCGUGGUCUAAAUACUAAACUUCAGACCAUGAUGACCACUUGCCAAAAUGCUACUUUCUAUGAGGCGGUAAAUAUUGCUAUCGCCUCAGAGGAAAAGAAUAGGAAACAUAAGGAAGCCAAGAAGAAGGCUGCUUCCUCUUCUUUCUCUGGUCGCGGUCAAAAGCGCCAGAGGAUCAUUUAUCAUCCACAGGGCCACGGACGUUUCCAAGCGCCGUCACCUUAUCGUGGUCCUUUCUCCCCUCCACAGUACAGACCCGGGCAGCAGGUAUAUUCUCGACCUACUGCCAUCGCUUUUGCACCACGCCAGCCGAACGCCCCGGGUGUUCGCCCUACUGCUCCGCCCAGCCACAAUUACCCUUGCUUCAAUUGUGGUAAACCUGGGCAUUUCUCUAAAGAGUGCCCUUUUCCCCGCCAAACCAACCCUACCUUUCCAAGGCCACCUAUGGGCCAACCCAGCCGGGUCAGUUCAGAACUGGGGUUCAAAAAGGGCAACAGGUACAGAAAGGUAGACCGGUAAAGAAGACAGGGCAAGUCUUCCAUACUGAAGUGGAGACAAUUCCAGAGGGUGAACCAGUGAUGAUGGGUACGUUUCCUGUUGCGAAGCAUCCUGCUUUAAUGCUCUUUGAUUCUGGUGCAUCCCAUACAUUCAUCAAUCGCACCUUUGUGUUAAAGCAUGGCAUACCCAUUGGGGAAACACAAGAUCAUUUUUAUAUACAGUCGCCAGGAGGACGGCUGAUGUCUAAAGAAAUGGUUCACCAAGUACCCAUCGAAUUUGGUGGGCACAAUUUUCCUACUAGCAUGAUUGUUCUUAAGGACCAAGAAAUUGAUGUCAUCUUAGGCAUGAACUGGAUGGCGCAACGAGGGGUUGUGCUAGACACUUUGCAUCGAACCAUUAAAAUCCCAUUGCCCAAUGAGAAUUCUUAUUUGCUAAUCCAAUUAGUUACUCCCAAACGGACAAUUGGGCAAGUUCAUGCCGCAAAUGUGUCUGAAGUCAAAGAUAUUCCGGUAGUUCGAGAUUUUCCGGAUGUAUUUCCUGAAGACUUACCAGGUCUGCCUCCGGACCGGGAUGUACAAUUCAGUAUAGAAUUGAAACCAGGAACGGCCCCAAUAUCUCGAAGGGCCUACAGAAUGGCACCGAAAGAGCUGGCCGAAUUAAAAACCCAAUUACAAGAGUUGUUGCAGAAGGGUUUUAUUCAGCCCAGUUCUUCUCCAUGGGGUUGCCCAGCCUUGUUUGUGAAAAAGAAAGAUCAGACAUUAAGGCUGUGUGUCGACUAUCGUCCUCUAAAUGAGGUAACGAUUAAGAACAAGUACCCAUUGCCCCGCAUUGACUUAUUGUUUGACCAGCUAGCUGGGGCCAAAGUGUUCUCAAAAAUUGAUUUGAGAUCAGGGUACCACCAAAUUAAAAUUAGGCCGGAAGAUGUGCCCAAGACCGCUUUCACAACCCGUUACGGGCUGUAUGAAUACUUGGUGAUGUCUUUUGGGUUGACUAACGCACCGGCCCAUUUCAUGUACCUGAUGAACUCUGUCUUCAUGCCAGAACUAGAUAAAUUUGUUGUUGUCUUUAUUGACGACAUUUUGAUUUACUCCAAGACUAAGAGAGAACAUGCUGAACACUUGAGAGUCGUGCUGACCCGUCUCAGGGAGCAUCAGCUAUAUGCCAAGUUCAGCAAAUGUGAGUUCUUGCUGGACAAAGUUCAUUUCCUGGGUCAUGUAUUAUCAGCGGAAGGAGUCGCUGUAGACCCAGGCAAGGUAGAAGAUGUGUUGAAUUGGAAACCCCCGACUACGGUACAUGAGGUCCGUAGUUUUCUGGGCAUGGCGGGAUAUUACCGUCGUUUCAUCCCGGACUUCUCCAGAGUCGCCAAACCAAUCACAACCUUGCUCAAAAGUCAAACAAAAUUUGUUUGGUCACCCCAAUGUGAGCAAGCCUUUCAGACUCUGAAAAGGUUGUUGACAACUGCACCUGUCUUAGCCCAGCCAGAUAUUGAAAAACCCUUUGAUGUAUAUUGUGACGCAUCAGGGAUCGGGUUAGGCUGUGUGCUGAUGCAGGAGGGUCGCGUAAUUGCAUUUGCUUCCAGACAACUCAAACCCCAUGAAGAGAAUUACCCGACCCAUGAUCUUGAACUAGCCGCCGUGGUACAUGCAUUAAAGAUCUGGCGUCAUUAUUUGUUGGGGAACACAUGUCAUUUAUAUACAGAUCACAAAAGCUUGAAGUAUAUCUUUACUCAAGCUGAGCUUAAUAUGCGCCAGCGAAGGUGGCUAGAACUAAUUAAAGAUUACGACCUUGAGGUGCAUUAUCACCCUGGCAAGGCAAAUGUAGUAGCGGAUGCCCUCAGUCAUAAGGCUCACUGUAAUUGCUUAACAGUGACGCCUAGGGAUAUAACUUUGUGCCAAGAGCUAGAGAACUUGGGAAUAGAAAUGAUUUCCCAAGGAAGCCUUUCCAAUCUAAAGAUCGAUUUCAAUCUCGAGGCUCAAAUCAUAAAGGCACAAAAAGAAAACAAAGGCAUGAGACAUCUUAAAGAGAAGAUUUCUAAUAGAGCACCCACAGACUUUAAGGUGGAUGAUGCGGGAGUAAUCUGGUUCAAGAACCGGUUAGUAGUUCCAAAGGUACCUGAGCUACGUCAGCAAAUCCUGGAUGAAGCUCAUACCACGAGGUAUUCCAUUCAUCCGGGAAGCAAUAAGAUGUAUCAGGACCUGAAGCAAAGGUUUUGGUGGACAAAAAUGAAGAUAGAAAUAGCUCGCUAUGUGGCCCAAUGUGACACCUGUCGAAAGGUCAAAGCCAUUCAUCUCAAAUCCGCUGGGGAGUUGCAACCUUUGCCUAUCCCCGCAUGGAAAUGGGAUGACAUAAGUAUGGAUUUCAUAGUAGGAUUGCCCAAGACGGCCAAGGGCUUUGAUUCCAUUUGGGUCAUAGUAGAUCGUCUCACCAAAACAGCACAUUUUCUGCCGGUAAAGCUAUUGUAUCCUGCCUCCACCUAUGCUAAGAUUUAUUUCGACCGUAUCCUAAGUCUGCAUGGGGUGCCAAAGACAAUAGUGUCAGAUAGAGGCACACAAUUUGUCUCCCAGUUCUGGAAAUGUUUACAUGAGUCCCUGGGCACUAAGCUUUUAUACAGCACAACCUACCACCCUCAAACUGGUGGGCAAACUGAAAGGGUGAAUCAAACCCUAGAAGAUCUAUUAAGAUCUUGUGCCCUGAAUUUUCCAGAUAAGUGGGAUGACUGCUUGCCUCUAGCAGAAUUUUUCCUACAAUAAUAGCUAUCAAGAGAGUAUCAAAAUGGCUCCCUUUGAGGCACUGUAUGGUCGCCGAUGUCGAACUCCGUUACACUGGUCGGAACCUGGAGAAAGAUGGUUCUUCGGAGUUGACUUAGUGAAAGAGACUGAGAACAAAGUGAAACAAAUCCAAAAUAACUUGAAAGUUGCUCAGUCCCGACAGAAAAGUUACGCUGAUAAAAGACGUCGACCAUUAAAGUUCGCCAAAGGUGAUCAUGUGUAUUUGAAAGUAUCCCCAAUGAAAGGAGUAAAUCGUUUUGGUGUUAAAGGCAAGUUAGCGCCUCGUUACAUUGGUCCAUUUCCAAUUAUUGACCGAUGUGGACAGGUCGCUUACCGCCUUAAACUGCCCGAACGAUUAUCCGGGGUGCAUAAUGUGUUCCAUGUGUCUCAACUAAAAAAAUGUCUUCGGGUACCAGACCGAGUUCAAGAUAUUGAAGAUGUAAAGCUUGAACCAGAUCUAACUUAUUCGGAAUACCCUAUCCGAGUACUGGAUCAAAAAGAUAGAGUUACUCGAAGGACAACCACCAAAUGGUAUAAGGUACAAUGGAGCCAGCACUCUGAAGAAGAAGCCACCUGGGAAUCUGAAGAUUACUUGCUAGAGAAUUUUCCUGAAUUCCAUGCUUCCCUUCAGGACAACAUAUGAUAACCAGAGAGUGUACUCUAGUGAAGGAAAAGAGUCGCCAAAGCCAUGUACUUAAUGUACAUAUAUGCUUAUAAUAAAGUAUUUUCCCCAACUCCUUGCCUUAUGGAAAAGUUGAAGAUGAAAGAGUUUUGACAAAUUUCCUUUUCCAUUACUUACCCUAAGGUUUUAAAUCUCGGGGACGAGAUUUUUUUUAAGGGGGAAGGGCUGUAACAUCCCUGAUGUUACGGUUACUAAAAAUGGAUCAUGUCAUCAUGAGCAUUGCAAAUCAUAUUUGUUAAAGCACAUUAGUAUGCAUCAACUUAAAACAAGUUUAUUUUUAUUGCUUGAGCUUAGGGAGGUAGAGUGUGUUUAUGUGGGAUGUUGAUGCUUGUGUGGUUGCUAAAAACCCUAGGGUGGAAAUUUUCCGAAAAGCUAAGGGGGGGAAAACCCUGAUUUCUGGAUCCUAGAUUUGUCCCCUUUUUGCAUAAGUCAAAAACUAAGCAAAAUUUGAGGUUGAGUUCAAAAGAAAAGUUGUAGCUCUUGGCAAGAUGUACAACUUUGGUGUUUUGAGUUUUUGAAGUUUCAAUACAAAAUUCAAAGUAAUUUUGAAAACACAGAUUUCCAGAAAGUGUCCCCUUUUCCAACUUAAACCCCCAAUUCAAAAUCCAUUUGGAAUUUUGAAAAGUGCUCAACAUGAAAGUUGUAGAGCACAAAAAAUGGAGCAACUUUCAUGUUGGGAGUUUUUCAAGUUGUUAUACCAAAUUAAAAGUAAUUCUGGAAAUCAUGAUUUGCCCCAAUUCAAAAAUUUGAAUUUCUUUUGAAUUGAGUUUGAUUUUCAAACUGUUUGGAAAAAUUUCCCUUUUUCCAUUGAGAAUCAGCUUGGGACACCUAAAUAUGAUUUGUAGCUUACAAAAUUUGGCACAACUUUUGUUUUGGUGAAAAUUUGACUUUAGUUCAAAUUUUGGUCGGAUUUCGCAAAAAGACAGACUGUAUGGAUGUGGCCUGCUACAGUGUUUGGCAGGGGGGGGGUGCUCUGCCGCCGCGGCAGAGCCGCCUCCGCGCGCGACGCCACGCAGCUGCUUGCUGCUGUGCUUCGCGCGGACGGCCUCAUCCACAUCCCCUGUUCCGCCGCUUGGAUAAAGCCUCGGACGGCCGGAGUGCUUCUUUUUCUUCCUUUGAACCUCACCGCCGACCACCACCAUCCGCCGCCAAAAUUCGUCCUCUCCGUUGCCUUUCCACGCGAUUUGAGCACCCCAGCGACUCCGCCUUGAGCUCCGCCACCGGUUGCGCCCCCAAGCGCAAGCACUAACCCACCAGAGCCCUUUCCCGAGCCGCUCUUCUCCAGCUCCGGCCAAAGCGCCGCCGCAAGCAUCCCACCGUGGCCAGCAUCGCUCAAAGCCUCUCCGCGGCUGUUUGUUGCUCGGUUGAAGUCGUGGUGAGCCUCUGUCGCUUUUGCGCUACUCUCUUCGCGCUGUACUCAAGCGUAGUGGCCGGUGUUUGCCCGGCCGAGGCGGCCGUCCGCCGUGUCCGUGGUCGCGGGGGUUAGGGGAGGAGAAAGGGGGUGAGAAGGGUAUCCAGAGGUGCGCCUUGGAAUGGAGAACGCGACCAGCAGGUCACGAGAAGCAGAGGAGGCACGGAUGGCUCGGUCGCGCCAUCGAUUCGGCCGGCCGGAGGUUGAAGACGGAGCUGACAGCGAGGGCCCGCUGUCAGCGACGUCCUGAGGGGAGGCGAGGGCGCGAGCGCGCGCAGCGCGGGUGCGGGCCGAGCGCGUGUGGGCCGGCCUGCGGCCCAGUUUCCAGGCCGCCCGCUGCGCUGUUUUUUUUUCUUUUUCCUUUUUGAUUAAAAUUGCUUGAUGUUUGAAUUUAUGUUAUAAAUUUUGUAGUGAUCCAAAAAUGAUGAAAAAUUUUGUAUAAAUUCCCUGAAAUAGUUAGAACCCAAGAAAAAUAUUAGGCUCUGUUUUCUGAUAAUUUGCCAGGAUAUGAAAAUUGGCUCUUUUAAUUACCAAAUAAAGCUUUGAUGAAUUUUAAUAAUUUAUUAGUAUGUCCAAAAAUCACCAAAAAUUGUGGGGAGCCUCUGAAUAUUAUUCCCUGGCUCCACCCAAAAUUUGGUGGCAUUUGGAUAAUGUUUGUUUAAAAUAUUAAUAAACCCUUAUUUAACACUUAAAUAAUAAUUCCAAAAUAAUUAAAUAGUGAUUAUUUAGAUCCUCAUAAUUAGGGUUGAGUGAUUUUGGAUUGUGUGAUGACCUGAGGUCAUUAACCCUAAUGACCUUUGGCAUUUAAUUGUUGUUUAGCCCUAAUGCUUAAUUACUGUCAUUAGUAAUUAAUUAAGAGUUAAUUAAGGUAAUUAGGAUUAAUAAUUAACUAAUUUAAGAUAAGUAUGAAUUAAAUAAAGUCUUAGUUUACAGAUGCAACCUCUUGGGUAAAACCAUUAAGUUAUUAAGCAACUUUAUUUAGCGAUAAUUCUGUAUUGCAUCAAGAAGGCGAGUUGUACUCGAUUUGGUCCUUCUUGCAUAUUUGUCAUACGCAUAUCAUGAGCAUUCAUCAUUUUGCGUAUAGUGUCCGUGACCGAAGGAGCGCCCGUUGAACCGAACCCCGAGGUCGGUGCUCCGUUCGAGGAAGUCGGAUCUGAGACUUGGGAAGUCUCCGAGGGUCCCUCUCUGCCCUGCAACCAAGG